rnacentral:tRNA from 1 species
GGUGAGAUGGCCGAGCGGUCUAAGGCGCUAGGUUAAGGUUUCAACCUCGACAUAUACCGAUAGGUUUCCUAGUGGAGCAAUCCUCGUGGGUUCGAAUCCCACUCUCAUCA